AAUGACAUUCCAGAGCUCAGGUUUAAAAAUGCAAGUUUUCAUAUGUAACAAGAUGAAUCUGUGUUGGCAGUAGAGUCUAUGUUGAGGUGACAACCAGUGGCACCAGGAGCAUCACCAUCACCAACAACACUGUCACCAACACCAUCAUCAGCACCACCAGCAUCAUCACCAUUGCCACAUCCCCUUCUCUCACCACCAGCAUCACCAUCACCACCACUGUCAUCAAAGUCACCACCUUCACCAUCAUCCUCACCAUCCCCACUAUGGCCAUCACCAGCACCACACCAAUACCACCAACACCAAUGUCACCACCAGUAUCACCAUCAUCAACAGUCACCAACAUCACCACCAUCACCAACACCCUCACCACCGCAGAAGUCACCCCCACCUCAAAGCAGGUGUCAGGAAGCCAUUCUUUUUGUCUCCUAGCUACAGCCUUGGUCCAGCAAGCCUGGCUUCUCCACCCCUCUCUCCACCCUGGGCUGAAGGGGACAUGGCUAUGACAGUGAGGGAAGUGCUGGCUUGCUUGGGAACCAAGAGGAUUCUGGGUUUGAUUCUCUGGCUUCUCUGUAAGCGGCCUCAGAUGUAUUCUGUGCUGGCUGCCACCCGGUUGACCAUCUAUAGAUGGCAAGCCCAGGUCCUGGACUAUGGGAAGGUAGAGGAGGGUCUGUUCAUUGUAGGUCUAGGACCCUUGAGGUGUCUGAGCGUUGGGGUUAACGUGAAUCCCUCCUACUGCCGUGGCUUGUGAGACCACUUCGGGGAGAGGGAGAUCUGAGGACCUGGGUCCACUGUGCUCACCUUCCUGUCUUUGGAGAGAAGGAAGAGAAAGUCCCUCUGGAAGUAGAUAGGGCUAGUGGUCCUGACUGCCCCACACCAGGUCCCAAGAGAGACAGCAGGAAUGGCAGCUUCACUUCCAGAAGCCGCAACACAGGGGAGCCACCAUUUCCAGCUCCUUCCUGAAAUACCAGUUUUUCAGUGUUUUGUUCACUGUUCUGUCCCCAGAACCUGGUACAAGGCGUGGCACAUAGUACAUACUCAAUAAAUAUUUGUCAGAUUAAUGAGAAAAGGGAUGAGAUGCCCCUCUCCACUGCAAGUGUAAGCGAAGAGAUAGGGUCUGCAUCAUAAAGUUAAUUCAAAGGAUCUGAUCUGAUAAGGUGUGAAGGGGGAACUUUUGCAAAAAUAUUAAUUUUGUCUUGUGCACUAGAGAGACUGUGAAAAUUAAUAACUGGCUCCAACUUGUCCUAUUCCCUAUUAAUAAAUAUGGCUCAGAGGCGACUUCAACAAAAGUGUUUUCUAACAUGCCCAAAACUAUAGAAAUUGUGGUUAUGUCCAGUGACUAAUUCCCACCAUAAGAAGGUUUUUGCCCUGAUGGGUUGUCUUCAUUGAUCAUUUGCUGCCCUGAGGAUGACAUGCUGCGUGUAAACUCUAUAAAUACAGGUAAGCUUUCUCAUCAGAGCAGAAGAUCAAUAGCCCUUUCCUCUUUUCCCAUAUGCAUGAUGGGAAAUUAAAUCCCAUGACUCUGAUGCAUUAAUUAUUUUACAAACAAAUCUAGCAAGCCCAUGGCUGAGUUAAAUUAACAAAUGGUUCCAGGACCACAGAUGCCUGAACUUCAGGAUGGCAGAGAGUUGAAGGUGGCGACCCCUGCUGGCUGCCCAAACACACGCACGAGGGAGAGUUACCUCCACGGGUCAAGCCAGUGAGGUCAAGUACUGUCCAUUUAAGAAGGACCUGGUGGACGUCCUGGAGGUCAGAGGUCAUGACAUCCCACUUGAGAGAAAGUUCUGGAAGGCUGCAAUCACAGCCUAUGCACCUUUGGUUGGGUCCCAGGAGCGCCAGAGAGAUUGGCAACACUCCAGACAGGUGCCGUUCCCUCGGCCGGGGUCACAAGGAUGAUGUGGAGCAGAGCCCUGAGGAGACCCGCAAUGGACCAAUAACAUUGGCAAGUAACUUAAACCUUUGUUGCGUGACGCCACUGAGAUUCUGGGGUUGUUUCUUACUGCAGCAUAACUCAGCCUAUCCUGACUGAUACAGUUGCCAGUUCUCAGUAAAGCCUGAAAUGUGGAGGGCUUAAAGGAAUGA